rnacentral:rRNA from 1 species
CAGUAGCCGCGGGAAUACGUAGGUGGCAAGCGUUGUCCGGAAUUGUUGGGCGUAAAGGGCUCGCAGGCGGUUUCUUAAGUCUGAUGUGAAAGCCCCCGGCUCAACCGGGGAGGGUCAUUGGAAACUGGGAAACUUGAGUGCAGAAGAGGAGAGUGGAAUUCCACGUGUAGCGGUGAAAUGCGUAGAGAUGUGGAGGAACACCAGUGGCGAAGGCGACUCUCUGGUCUGUAACUGACGCUCAGGUGCGAAAGCGUGGGGAGCAAACAGGAUUAGAGACCCGAGUAGUCCCUGUCUCUUAUAU